GGCUAUGUAGCUCAGACGGUUAGAGCGCGAGACUCAUAAUCCCGAGGUCGGUGGUUCGAUUCCACCCAUAGCCA
rfam:Lysobacter arseniciresistens ZS79 contig17, whole genome shotgun sequence.